AGCGUAGGCGGGCGCUUAAGUGGGAUGUUUAAAACCGGGGCCCAACCCCGGAGCGGCAUUCCAAACUGGGCGUCUUGAAUAGGGGAGAGGUUGAUGGAAUUGGAGGUGUAGCGGUGGAAUGCGUAGAGAUCUCCAAGAACACCGAUUGCGAAGGCAGUCAACUGGACCCAUAUUGACGCUGAGGCUCGAAAGCAUGGGGAAGCAAACA
rnacentral:rRNA from 1 species